rnacentral:rRNA from 1 species
CCUACGGGUGGCAGCAGUGGGGAAUAUUGCACAAUGGGGGAAACCCUGAUGCAGCGACGCCGCGUGAGUGAAGAAGUAUCUCGGUACGUAAAGCUCUAUCAGCCGGGAAGAAAAUGACGGUACCUGACUAAGAAGCCCCGGCUAACUACGUGCCAGCAGCCGCGGUAAUACGUAGGGGGCAAGCGUUAUACGGAUUUACGGGGUGUAAAGGGAGCGUAGACGGGAGCACAAGUCUGGGGUGAAAUCCCGGGACUUAACCCCGGAACUGCUUUGGAAACUGUGCGGCUGGAGUGCAGGAGGGGUAAGCGGAAUUCCUAGUGUAGCGGUGAAAUGCGUAGAUAUUAGGAGGAACACCGGUGGCGAAGGCGGCUUACUGGACUGUAACUGACGUUGAGGCUCGAAAGCGUGGGGAGCAAACAGGAUUAGAUACCCCUGUAGUC